rnacentral:precursor_RNA from 12 species
UUCACAGGUAUGAGAUAGGCAUCGUCCGACAUCGGGAUGCUGUUUAGAUUGUGCAAGAUCUUCUCACAUCUUGACAGGCAUCCUGCUAGUCUGCUGCUGCUGCUCCGGCUUUCUGAGCAU